AAAAAACAAUAUUUCAGAAUAAAUUUUUUUCAGUCACUCCCAUAAUAAAUGUAGAUCAAGAUGGCAUGAAUAUUCCAGACCUGUAUUAAAAGUAAGUCAAUAUGGCACAAGUAUUCAACCCUGUAAUUAAUGUAGAUCAAGAUGACACAAAUAUUCAAAACCUGUACUAAAAGUAGGUCAAUAUGACACAAAUAUUUCAGACCUGUAUUAAAAGUAGGUCAUGAUUGCACAAAUAUUCAGACCUGUAUUAAAAGCAGGUCAAUAUGGCACACAAGUAUUCAACCCUGGAAUAAAUGUAGGUCAAGAUGGCACAAAUAUUCCAAACUUGUAAUAAAUGUAGAUAAAGAUGGCACAAAUAGUCCAAUUCAGUACUAAAUGUAGGUCAAUAUAGCACAAGUAUCUAUGAUAAAAGAGGAUUGUAAGUGGAGAAAUACCAUGAAUACCUCAUGGUUUAUGAAAAGUAUAAGGGACAGGCAACAGUUUAAUAUUGUUGAUACAACCUUUGACUAAUACAUUGUAUCUGUUAAACUGGUGAUCCAAUAUGCAUCAAUUAAAUAAGUAAAUUGUCAAAUCAUUAAACACAACCUUUGGUCACUCAAUGUAGUUUAUAUUUCCUGUAUAAUAAGGUUGUAUUUCUUCAAUAUCACUGUUGUUUACUACAAUGAAGACAAGAACAAUUUAUAUUAUAUCGCCCUCAGUCAAUAUACUUCUUUCAGGUCAAUAUAUCCUUGUAUUGACAUCAUACAUAGGCUAUAUUUGCAUAAUAUCAUUGACAACUCUUCAGUUUGAGAAGGCUUCUUAAAAAACUCAUAAUGGACUGUAGUCAAGGAAAAUUUGUACAGCCUUGCAACCUAUAGAUGUUUGGGAUAAGAUAUUUUAGCACCAUUUUCUAAACUUAAAUAGUUCUUUUAAUUUCCUUACUUUCAAGUUGAUGUGACCACUUUAAUUUUACCAAUCUAAAUGAAACAAAACAGAUUUCAUGUACAGUAUUAUUUUACAUGUUUUAUGGGUUAAAGAGCAUAUCCCUAAUCUCCUAUACUGGAGGUGAAGAAUACAUAAUUCAUGGUAACUAGAAUUAUGACUUCAAAGUACAAGAUGCUUUAAACCAUACGUCAGUAUACAUGGUUUCCAAAUGAAGUUGUUUUAAAAACCAUAUGUUAGUAUGGUAUUAUAAUAAGGUACUUAGCUCAAAAGUUACAAAGACCAUACAUAUAAGCACUGUAUCAAAAAUGAGGUAAUUAAACAGUCAGUACAGUCUCAAAAUUAAAUUCUUAGACCAGACAACAGAUUGGUAUCAAAAAUGAGGUAACU
rnacentral:lncRNA from 1 species